rnacentral:rRNA from 1 species
AGAGUUUGAUCCUGGCUCAGGAUGAACGCUGGCGGCGUGCUUAACACAUGCAAGUCGAACGAUGAAGCCUUUCGGGGUGGAUUAGUGGCGAACGGGUGAGUAACACGUGGGCAAUCUGCCCUUCACUCUGGGACAAGCCCUGGAAACGGGGUCUAAUACCGGAUAAUACUUCUGCUCUCAUGGGCGGGGGUUAAAAGCUCCGGCGGUGAAGGAUGAGCCCGCGGCCUAUCAGCUUGUUGGUGAGGUAAUGGCUCACCAAGGCGACGACGGGUAGCCGGCCUGAGAGGGCGACCGGCCACACUGGGACUGAGACACGGCCCAGACUCCUACGGGAGGCAGCAGUGGGGAAUAUUGCACAAUGGGCGAAAGCCUGAUGCAGCGACGCCGCGUGAGGGAUGACGGCCUUCGGGUUGUAAACCUCUUUCAGCAGGGAAGAAGCGAAAGUGACGGUACCUGCAGAAGAAGCGCCGGCUAACUACGUGCCAGCAGCCGCGGUAAUACGUAGGGCGCAAGCGUUGUCCGGAAUUAUUGGGCGUAAAGAGCUCGUAGGCGGUCUGUCACGUCGGAUGUGAAAGCCCGGGGCUUAACCCCGGGUCUGCAUUCGAUACGGGCAGACUAGAGUGUGGUAGGGGAGAUCGGAAUUCCUGGUGUAGCGGUGAAAUGCGCAGAUAUCAGGAGGAACACCGGUGGCGAAGGCGGAUCUCUGGGCCAUUACUGACGCUGAGGAGCGAAAGCGUGGGGAGCGAACAGGAUUAGAUACCCUGGUAGUCCACGCCGUAAACGGUGGGAACUAGGUGUUGGCGACAUUCCACGUCGUCGGUGCCGCAGCUAACGCAUUAAGUUCCCCGCCUGGGGAGUACGGCCGCAAGGUAAAACUCAAAGGAAUUGACGG